GCCGCAACAUCCGGCGACGGCCGGAAGCGCCCCCGGCGGCCCGCGCCCUCCCCGGAGCCGCGCAGACGGGCCGCGCCGCGCCGCCCGCCGGUAGCGCCACUCCGGGGCUCGCGCUGUGCCAAGCCGCCGCGGCCUUGCCCCGCCGCGGCCGUCCUAACGCCGGAUCUGCUGCUGCCUUCCCGCUGUUUGCUUGGGGAUUAGAUACCGUGACCCUCACAUAGAUGCACGCCACAAAAUACCUAUUUCUAUACCUGGUCACAUUAAGGAAAUGCCAAUCCUUCCCAACGGCAUAACCAGGAAUGUGUGUGCAAAUCUGUAAAGAAAUAUGUGUUAGAGAGUACAGCACUUCUUCAAAGGCAUGAGGAACUUCAGGCCGAUCACCCUGUCAGGGAAUCCUGCAGCAUUUUAUUCCAGAUUAUCUAACCGCCUCAGAAGAAGGCAGUUGGUAAAAAGGCCAAAAGAGUAUGUGCUUCAUACAGCGAGGACUAAAAAUAAUGGUUUUCUUUUCAUGUGCUUGUCAGCCUUCCUUUGUCUUUCCUCUUCUUUUUCCUUUCCACCUCCUUUUCUAUAGUUAUGUCUUAACUGCAACUGUAUUAACACAGACAAAAAUAGUGUGUUUUACCAGUUUAGUAAAGUCUUGAUGAAUGUU